GAUCCUGGCUCAGGAUGAACGCUGGCGGCGUGCUUAACACAUGCAAGUCGAACGAGAAUCUGCGGAAAGAGGAUUCGUCCAAUUGAAGCAGAGGACAGUGGCGGACGGGUGAGUAACGCGUGAGGAACCUGCCUUUCAGAGGGGGACGAACAGUUGGAAACGACUGCUAAUACCGCAUGACACAUAGGUGUCGCAUGGCACUUAUGUCAAAGAUUUAU
rnacentral:rRNA from 1 species